rnacentral:misc_RNA from 1 species
AAAAGCGCCUGAUCCGGACCCAGGAAGAUGGCGGUGGUUUCAGGGUGCUCCGAAACGUCCCUCUUUUGAUUUUUGUCGACUUUGGACGUCUCUGAGCCGACCUUGGCUGGUUCCGCAGUGACCCCCUUACAUCUCCACCUCUGCUUGAUGCUGUUGUCCGUUUUGCGGUCCGUUUUUCAGACGUGAUGGUCGUGAAACUGGGGUCUGAGAGCGGUCUGUUCUCCUCCAUGAGUGUCUGUAAAGACGCUGUUUUGCCAGUGUUGUCGAAGAGGUAGAUAAUUGACUGGCGUGAGAAAAGGCACGUUGUUACAGGGUUGUUGCAUGAGGACCGUAAGAGUGCCAGUGUGGGCAUAUGGAGCCGAGGUACGAUACUGACAUUGAAGAAUGACGUCGAACCAGAGUGAUCUUGACGGACAGAGUGGUAUUGAUAUUAGCAUGUGACUUUGUGAACACUUCUCGUCUACCGUUGCAGCUAUCACUAUUACAACAGCUUAUCAAAGAUCGACAAUACAGGACAUCGUCAGACACGAGGUCCAUGUUGACUCCAGCCAACUUCUGGUAUUAGAUCUUACUCCGGGGUGAUGUGAUUAUGACAACAAGAAUGUUGAGGGUGACUGUUGAUGACAUGAAUUAGAAAUGAGCUCCAAAAUCGUCGUAUUUCGUAUUCAUGUUCCUAAUUUUCAACAUCUGGUCUUGCGGAUCU